rnacentral:rRNA from 1 species
GACAGAGGAUGCAAGCGUUAUCCGGAUUGAUUGGGCGUAAAGCGUCUGUAGGCGGCUUUUCAAGUCCGCCGUCAAAUCCCAGGGCUCAACCCUGGACAGGCGGUGGAAACUGCCAAGCUGGAGUACGGUAGGGGCAGAGGGAAUUUCCGGUGGAGCGGUGAAAUGCGUAGAGAUCGGAAAGAACACCAACGGCGAAAGCACUCUGCUGGGCCGACACUGACACUGAGAGACGAAAGCUAGGGGAGCGAAUGGG